GAGAUAUGGACAAUCUCUGAGAUGAAACUUGAAUCUUUCCCAAGCAUGAUAGGAAUUUUCAUCUAGCUUCUGCUUGAAACUUAAGCUCUCACUUCUAAACCU
rnacentral:snoRNA from 1 species